CUAAGAAUCUUCCACAAUGGACGGAAGUCUGAUGGAGCGACGCCGCGUGGACGAUGAAGGCCGUGAGGUUGUAAAGUCCUUUUCGGGAGGGGGAAUAACCUGGGGAGGGAAUGCCCCGGGGAUGACGUGAAUCCCGGAAUAAGCCCCGGCUAACUACGUGCCAGCAGCCGCGGUAAUACGUAGGGGGCGAGCGUUGUCCGGAAUGAUUGGGCGUAAAGGGCGCGUAGGCGGCCUGGUAAGUCUGGAGUGAAAGUCCUGCUUUUAAGGUGGGAAUUGCUUUGGAUACUGCUGGGCUUGAGUGCAGGAGAGGAAAGCGGAAUUACCGGUGUAGCGGUGAAAUGCGUAGAGAUCGGUAGGAACACCAGUGGCGAAGGCGGCUUUCUGGACUGAAACUGACGCUGAGGCGCGAAAGCGUGGGGAGCAAACAGGAUUAGAUACCCUGGUAGU
rnacentral:rRNA from 1 species